AGCAUUUCCAAAACGUCCCAGGUGGCCCACUUCCAAUAUAUCCUGGUGAUAUUCUAGCAGCCCGAUGUCUGUAUAUUAACAAUAAGCCCCAUCCUAUCAAGUUUGGAAUGGCCGAUGAAGAUGAAAUGUGUAAUUUUUCUUUGACGUUUGGCUAUGAAGACAAAUAUAAGGAUGAUUUCAUUCGUCCCAUCGGCUGUUUAUCGGACUCUCCCAACUUCCGGUUCUGCAACAGUUCUCGCAUGAAUAGUUUCUGUUAAAAGAAAU